UUCCUUUCAUCUCUUUGCAGUUUGCACCUCUUCCCCCUUUCUCUUAGUUGUCAAAUUCUUGUUUCCUCAUACCUUAGUUUUUUUUUUCUCAUUCAAAACCGAAGAUAAUUUCAUUUCUCAUAACACUAGCAGUAUGAAAAACUAGGCAUUUUCAGUACAACUUCUAUUUUUUUGGGUGUAAUUUUGGUGAAUCUCACCUCCUCUCUUUUAUCAGUUUCCCCCAAUAGCAAAACACCUCUCCUCUCAAUUCAGCUCUCAAGUACGAAACUCAUCAAAAGAAUUUCAACCUGGGAAACCCCUCAAUCCUCCAAGCUAUGAAGUUGGUUUUAGCUGAAAAGUGGAAUUACUUGAUGGAUUUCUGAGGAGAUCUUUGAAGCAGACUUGCUGUAGGGUUCGGCGUAUCGAUGUUAGGAUGUUAUAUACUAGCAUUGAGAUGCAGCUGAGAACAAAGGUUGUGUAUGCUCUUGUUGUGGAUAGACGGAGGAUCCUCUGAACUCGGUUUUCUCUGUGUUGGGAAUGAUUUUGUGUUUUAGGUCUUUGUUGGGCAUUGUAUUGGGUAUUAGCAAAAUGUCAUUCUUUAGAACAAUCAUUUUAUUAGAACUUCAAACAAUCUUUAAUACGGAGUAUGGAAACUGUUCAUCCUCUGGGAGUUGGGAGGUGGUUUCAAUGAGCCUUAUGAUCACAAGAACUUGUAAAUAUGGAAAACCACUCACGGGUCCAUCCUUUGAUAUUAUUAAAUUGGUACUUUGGUAGCGAGAUAAAUAGCAUAUGUAUCAAGGGAGUAUCUCAUUAUUGGACAUGCAUAUUGAAGGCGACAAAGCAUUUUUCAAACAAUAUGUAGGACAACCCCGUUCGUCCUUUAUGGAAUGAGUGUUUAGUAAACUUAAUCUAUCAUUUUCAAGGUAGGUGUAAAAUAUGGGUUGAGAUCAUAUCUGUCUUUUUCAUUUCUCGUCCUCUACUGAUUUUGACACAUCUUAGUUUUUAAAGUAUUGAAAACUUCAAAGUGUUCAAACUAUUGGUGAAUGCUAAUCAUGUGGAAGAAUAAGAAAUGUUAGGAUAUGAGAUAGAUGGUCUUCACGGGCAAAAUAUCAGGGAGGUACCAAAUUAACUAGCGGGGGAGUGUAAAUUUGGAUAAAGUUUGAGUACUAAGACGAGGUUGCCAGUCGUAGAAUUGGUUUGUUUAUUUCCUGCUGUCCUUACCAUUUGCUUAGUACUUAGAAAGUGUAGUUUUGUUGUCUCUGUUGAGUUUUGAGGCAGAAGCUGAAUUUCUGACACAAUUUUUUUUUUCUUUCUAUUCUGUUGCUCUCCCAUCCCUCCUGUAGCUGGCAGCCUGGUAUCAUAUUGUUUAUCUGUUUUCUUACUUUAACUUUGAGCAUCUAUUACCAUUUGGAAUUGCUGAGAAAUUAUUUUUUUUGGAAUUAGUCUAGCAUUAUACUGUUUGAUAGAUAUAAUGUUUAAAUACCAUUGGCCUGGUUAAAUGUGUAUUGUUGAAGAGACCGCAGGGGCAUAUGUUGCAAAACUCCAUAUCAAGAAACAUAAUGGUACUGUUUCAAAAUGAGAAAAUAGAAUGGGUAUUUAAACCCUUUUUCUGGUUAACAAAGAAAUGAAUUUAUACUCCGUACUUGCUAAUUCUUAUGACUUGUAAAGGUGUUUUUGGUUAUGACCCCUAGGGCCUACACCCAUUCGAUCUCCUCUCCUAUUCCACAUUUCCACCACCAUCAACACCCCCCCUAUGGCGUCUCUCCUCAAGCUGCCCAGGCCACCACCUUUUUCUGUGCUCUCUUGAUAUGAUACUUUCUGUCUUUGUCAUUUUCUUAUAACCACUGCUAGGUUUGCCUGAAUCCUAGUAAUGACAUUGCCAAAGUCUUUUUAUCAUCAGUGGUGGGUUUUCUGUUCUAUACUUGAAUGUCAAGUGCUAGUGAUUAGGGUGGUGGUGUUACUGGUUGUUUUUCUCCCUUUCUGUUCUGAUUUCUGACACUUGUGAUGAGCUUCUGAAGAUGAUUUCUUUUAGAUCUACCAGCAGGUGCAUUAGAUUGUCUUUGCAGUCAAGUAUGUCCAUGGGGAGAUAGGUUAUAUGUUUUAGAUUAUAUGACAGUAGUUUUGGUUGCAUGGGCUGAUAGCUGUGACUGGAAGAGAUGUUAAGGUGAGCUCUGGAAAGAAGCAGGGAGGGCAGUGGACUCUAUUGUUUUAGAAAUAGGGCUUUAUGUUUUGUGUGACCCAAAAGAAAAUAGAAUAUGUUUUAUGCCAUUAGCACUUUUCAGUAGAAUAAGGUUAAGAAACUUGUGCACCUUUCAGUAGAAAAAGGUUUAAGGAACAAAUUCUCAGGUGUGGUUCACCUAGAGGUAGGUGUACCCAAGGUUUUCUUUUGCUCAUUUGAUCUUUUUUAGUUCAUUUGAAACUCUUCAAAUCAGAAAAAAGUUGGCAAAUCAGCAGAAUGUACCCUUGGAUACACAGUGUAGGUUUUCCAUUUUUUCCCACAUAUCACUCUAUGGCGUGUUCUUUUGCUUUGCCCUUUGAUGUCAGAAAGCAUGUACCCCUUUCGUAUACUUUUUCCUUUCUUUACUUGGAACUUCAAAUCCCGCGAACUAAUGGAGAAUUGUAAAUUUGUAAUCCAUGUUACUUAGCGUAAAACAUUCCGUCUUUUCUAGUGUGAUUAUUCACGCAGAGGAGGUUAUUGCUUCUCCCUUUUGCAUAUUUUCAUAUACGUUUUCCUUUCCUUUCUUAGAACUUUGAAGCCAGUGAAGUGUGAACUAGUAGUGGAGAUUGAUAAUCCAUGUGACUUUACCUUAAACAUUCCUUGUUUAUCCCGUGUGAUUAUUCACAUGGAUAUAAUAUAGCUUAUACUUAUUAGUACUGGAAUCUGUAUAACCUAUAGUAAACUCUUCACUCUGCUAGUUGUUAGUUAAGUAUCUGUAUGACCCUAUUGCCUCUUUAUCAGAGAAUUUCAUAUUGUUGGAUUCAUGUUGUCAUUGUCUUUUAAAGGUUUGCUGGCUCUAUGUUUGUGGUUCUAUGAAUGAAAAGCCGAUUUACCGGUUGAUAGAAAGAUGGUUGUCAUAUGUGAAAUAAUGCUGCUGAACUAUUUCUUUCAACUACCCCCUUGUUGACCUAAUGUUAACUUAAUAUGCAUGCUAACUUAUUCUGAAUGGAAUUUACUCAUUUAGUGAUGUGUGGGUACAAUUACUAUUAUUUCAGGCUUGUGCUGAACCUUCACCCAGGGUUUUAUUGUUGAUAGAAGAAGGUCUUCCCGAUGCUGUUGCCAUAAGAUGCCUUGCUCAUGUACCAUUUAACCUUCACCCCAAGUUAGAGGUUGUAAGCCGUACAUGGAGAGAUGCCGUGAGCCUUUUAAGGCCAGGGAAGAGGUAGGCUCAACCGAGGAGUUUUUAUGUGUAUGUGCUUUUGAUCCAGAUAAUCUAUGGCAGCUUUAUGAUCCCCUCCACGACAUUUGGAUUACACUCCCCGUUUUCCCGUCAAAGAUCAGGCAUCUUGCUCACUUUGGGGUGGUCUCCACCGGUGGGAAGCUAUACUAUACGUCCUUGGUGGCGGUCUCCACCAGGACGGGAGCUUCGCAACCAAUAAAGUAUGGUCUUGACCCAUGGUCUUAUUUAUAAACAGGAAGCUGAUAAAAGAAAGGUGGUUGUUUCAGCAUCAGAGGUAAGAAAGAGAAUUGGGUCUGCAUUGAUUGAUGUGGGAGGUGAGAUAUAUCAUAUAUGUGGUUGGAGGUGUGAUUGGUCCGGACCGGUCAAACCGGGAUAUUAAGCCGACUUCUGAUGUUGAUGUUCUGACAGUAGGAAGUGAGAGACUGAACUGGCGCAGGGUCGCUCCUAUAUCCAGGUGCCGUGGAACCAUACUUGAGGUGUACACAGUUGAGAAUUUAGGGUUCUUUGUAAGAAUCUUUAUGUUUUGUUGUAAGAAUGGUGCCUUUAUUUGAGAUUUGGUGCCUCUGAAUUGUGUUGUAACUGGUUUCUUUUCGCUUGAUCUUGAAUUGCACGUUUAUAGGCAAUAGAUCACUGUGGAAUGUAAACUUGUAAAGUUUCCUUUAGAAGAAUUAUUCUUUGAGCAAUUGAAGGACUACAAUUUGUUUUUAAGAUGUUGGAAUUAAGUUUGAGGAUCAUUUUCUUUUUUAAGCAUCA